rnacentral:rRNA from 1 species
UACGUAGGGUGCGAGCGUUGUCCGGAAUUAUUGGGCGUAAAGAGCUCGUAGGCGGUGUGUCGCGUCGGCCGUGAAAACCUGCAGCUCAACUGUGGGCUUGCGGUCGAUACGGGCAUCACUGGAGUUCGGCAGGGGAGACUGGAAUUCCUGGUGUAGCGGUGAAAUGCGCAGAUAUCAGGAAGAACACCCGUGGCGAAGGCGGCUCUCUGGGACGGUACUGACGCUGAGACGCGAAAGCGUGGGGAGCGAACAGG